GACGAACGCUGGCGGCGUGCUUAACACAUGCAAGUCGAACGGAAAGGCCCUGCUUUUGCGGGGUGCUUGAGUGGCGAACGGGUGAGUAACACGCGAGUAAACUGCCCUUGUAUUUGGGAUAACUUCAGGAAACUGCGGCUCAUAUCGGAUAGGAGCUUUUGCUGCACGGUGGGGGUUGGAAAGUUUCGGUGGUUCGGGCUGGACUCGCGGCUUAUCAGCUUGAUGGUGUGGUAGUGGCUUACCAAGUCUUUGACGGGUAGCCGGCAUGAGAGGGGGACCGGCCUCAUUGGGACUGCGAGACGGCGCAGACGCCUACGGGAGGCAGCAGUGGGAAGUAUUACGGAGUGGCCGGGAGCCAGAUGCGACGGCCCCGCGUGCGUGAUGACGGCCUUCGAGUUAUAAACCGCUGUCGCAGGUAACGAAGCGAGAUUGACGGUAAUUAAUCAAGAAGCACCGGCUAACUACGUG
rnacentral:rRNA from 1 species